ensembl:lncRNA
CACGUUUACUCUUUUAGGGAUAUAAGAAUUCCAUGGACAGAAGACUAAUCCAAAUCCUAGAUGGACGGCACUGGCAUGGUCACCUAGUAACUACAAGGACAUUAAAGAGCCAGUUCCUGAGGAUUAUUUAUGACCUGAGGCAAGUUGGCCGACUUGGUGUGUCAGAUGGCAAUCCCCAGGACAUUCUGGAUGUGAAGAAAAAUGACUGUGAAGAAAAAAGAAUGCAUUGUGAUAAAACUGAAAAAAAUUUAACAACUUGGAGGAAACAAGAGUUGAUGUCUGGAUCCCAAGUCAGAGGCAGGCCUGCCC